AAUAAAUAAAUAAAACAAUAACCUCCGCGCCAAUAAGAGCGAGGGAGAGAGCAAGACGCGACCAGAGAGCCACCGGGGCCCGCUCGUGCGCCUCUGAGAGGCUGUCCGCGCGCGCGCGUUUGUGCGUGAGUGUGGAUUUGCCGGGACUGGAGCUGGAAAGUUCAAACUAAACGUGUUGCUCUCUCCGGGUGCCGAGGCCGCGGCGGAGGCUGCCCAACUUGCCCCGGCCAAGUGAGUGGCGUUGCCCAGCGCCCUUGGCGAGGCGGCAGCCGCUCGGCUCUGCGCCCGGGCGCGGCGGCGGCGACGACUCCGCUCGCCCCGGGAGGGAGCCCGCGGCCAGGGCUGGACGCUCGCCCCGCCACCUCCACCGGCUCUCUCCUCAGCCUCCGCGCCUGGCACCGCAGCAAGACUUGAAUGCAGUGAUCAUGUAAACUAGAGAAAGGGGAUUAAAAAUAACCUCUGGAUACUCUUCUUAUGUGAUUUUUAUUCUGGAUGAAGCAUUAGGACAGCUGAUAGACGUGUAUCACUGUAAGUAUUUUCUAACGAACUUAGAAUGUGUAUUUUUUUUGUUUAUGGAUAACAUAUGUUGUACACUUUCACAGAAUUUAAGAAUAAUAGAUGUAAUAUAGUAGCAAUAAUGGACAGAACACUACAAACUCCCAAAAUACUAAGUGACAAGAAUAGCAACAUGGAAAAGGAAAAUUAUUCCUAUUAUAGAAUCACCUAAUUAUUGAGUAAAUAUUUGAUAUAUAAACAAAAGCAAAAGAUUAAAUGAUAAUUAUUUAUGAUGCCAAAGUGAUCUUUGCUAGAAUAUACUUAGGAGUGUGACAGUUUUCUGAUGAGGAAUUAAAAUAGUUGUAAAGCUGUGCUAAGAAGAAUCAUAAUCUUACUAUGAGUAAGAAAUGUGAUAUGAGUUAUGGGAUUUGAAAAUAAAAGAAUGAGAUGCUUUUGCAAGCCAGGCUAUUUACAUUUUCGUGAUGUUUUGGAAUGUGUAGAAAUACCAGCAAUUACAGCACCAACUUCAAUUAAUAGAAUGUUCAAUCUGUAUCUAAUGAAGUUAUCAAGUACUCUGUACUCAUGGCAUCUAUCAUUUUAUCAUACAAAACCAUUGCAUUCAUAAAGAGAAAAAAACUCUUGUAAACUGACCUGAAACUUCGUCUCAUCAUACAAACGAAGAAAGAGGCUUCUCAUUUAACAUUCCGCAGCACUCUAAUGUAAUUCAGAGGUAAGUGCUAUUACCCUUGGUGAAGAGGUUGAAUUUGAUAGCCAUUUCACUGUUAGACUAAAGAUGGCCUAUUGUAUCUCUUAGAUUACAAUGUCUUUGAUACUGUGAAUGACAAGGAAACAUACAAUCUCAGGGGAAAAUUCAGACAGAGAAGGUAUUUAAUAGCAAAACCACCACUGGAGUAUCUUUAGAUUUUGAAAUCAUAUGUAGACAUCUUAGUUGAUAGUCAACCAGAACCCACCAGUAAGGCAUUCAGCUUGGUCAUACCUGUGCGGUACAGAUGGCUACAUAUGUUGACUGUCACCCUAGUAAUACGUUAAAAUAUAAAUAUAUAUACAUAUAUUCAAAUAUCAAAUAUGUAUUAUAUUUUGACUUAUGAACUUAUUUAUUAUUUUACUAACCUGGACUUAUUAACCAGAAGAAUUACUUACAUACCGAAAGCUCUUUUUUAAAUAUCCUAUAACAUUUUUCCCCCAAAACUGAAUACAUAAUUUGGAAAACUCUCUGUGAAGGAAACAAUUAAUAUUUUGUUUUGUAUUCAUAAAACUGGAGUUAUUUUAUUUCAUAGAAUGUAGCAAUAACUUACACUUUCCACUUCAAAUUUUGAAAAUUUUAUUUGUAGUAAUAUUUUACCUACAUCUAAAACAGGUGGUAUAUGUAAUUUAUGUUUUGAAUGGACAAAUAACGUUUUCUGAAAAAGUUGUAAGAUGUCUUUGUUUUAGCUGAGUCAUAAUUUUUCCUCUUUCAUAGUCCCAUAAAAAUAUGUUUUCGCAAUAUGGCUAAAUAAUGAAAUUGAUUUAAAGCCAAGUUAGCACUCAAGACAAAAAUCAAACCUACUAAGUGUGUGACUUGCCCUACUUAAAAAGAAAUUGAGAGACAAUAAUAUGCAAUAUGUCUUUUUCAAAGUAAUUUCUCCAGGUUAGAUUUAUAGAGAAAUAUUCAUGGAGGUAAAUAUUCCUAUAAAAUAGAGAUGAUUUUGAAUGAAGUGAAAUUAUUUUUAAUUAAUAUCAUUGGUAAUUUGAAACAAAUGAUUUUUGUGUUACUUAAAACUUAAUUUUCUUCUAACAGGGAUUAAGCCAUUUAUCAGAACCAUGGUGUCAAAUACUGAUUUGCAGAAAUACUUUUCAGUGAAAUUUAAGACUAUGUGGUAUUUGAAACCAUCCAGUUCAUUUAACUUGCUUAAACAAUGUUCACUUUAUACAAGUUCCCUUUGAUAUAAUCAUUCAAGGGAACAUUUUCAUAUCUAUGUACGUAUAUGUGUGUCUUUUU